rnacentral:misc_RNA from 1 species
UUGGAGCUUACUAUGACAGC